GUUUCGGCGGCCAUAGCGAGAGGGAAACGCCCGGUAACAUUCCGAACCCGGAAGCUAAGACUCUCUGCGCCGAUGGUACUGCAAGGGGGACCUUGUGGGAGAGUAGGACACCGCCGGACU
rnacentral:rRNA from 1 species